UACAGAGGUCCCAAGCGUUGUUCGGAUUUACUGGGCGUAAAGGGUGCGUAGGUGGCGGGGUAAGUCUGGUGUGAAAGCUCCGAGCUCAACUCGGAAAAGCAUUGGAAACUAUCCCGCUGGAGGGUCGGAGGGGAGACUGGAAUUCUCGGUGUAGCAGUGAAAUGCGUAGAUAUCGAGAGGAACACCAGUGGCGAAGGCGGGUCUCUGGGCCGAUACUGACGCUGAGGAGCGAAAGCGUGGGGAGCAAACAGG
rnacentral:rRNA from 1 species